CGCUCUGCACAGCCUCCUCACAUGCUUGCUGCCAGCCUGGACCAGAACUACAUCUAGGAGGACGCUGCACCCUGGCAUCUGAGCCCCACAGUGGGUCGCCCCUGUUGAAACCCCACUGGCCAGGGCUACUGGCACCCAACGUUGGGUCUCGACCCUUGCCUUGUUGGGAGUUGAACGUCCUUCUCCAUGAAAGCCCAGAUGUCUGGUGGAGAUUUGAAGCAAUAGCCCAUCAAGACCACCCAACUUCGUGUCCCGGUGAUCCAGAGGAGAGCGGGAAGGACGAGGUGGGUCACCCCUGUUGAAACCCCGCUGGCCGGGACACUAUACUACUGAAGGGAAUCACAAGAAAGACUUUGGACAGCCUAACAGAUUUUACAUCCUAUGAAAACAGAACAAAAAAAAAAAGAGUUAGGAAUUCUACAAGCAAAAUGUUCUCACCCACAAAGACCAGGUUGUUGUAAUUCUCCAACAUCACAUCAAUGUGCAAAGCCCUCUGAGCAGAGUCCAGGCAUUCCCACUCCUCCUGGGGAAAGUCCACCGCUACAUCCCUGAAUGUCAAAGGACCCUGAAACAAAAGCAUAUGGUUUCAGCUCGUGCUACCUGGAAGUGCUUUCCUGGAUAUAAUGAGAAGAAUGUAGAUGAGCAAAGAUAAUUACUCAAAGAGAAGAUUUCUAAUACGGUCACAUUCUCUCAUGAAUAUUCUAACUCUGUGAAAACAGGAUUAAACAACAACAGUCUUAUAUUCAGUAUACAUGAAACAAGAAACACAUUAUGGUUAAUGUUAAACAUAUUAACACAUGUCUCAGAAGGAAAAUUCAUGAUACAGAAUGAGCUUUAAAUGCUAUAUAUCAUGCUAAAACACUGAUGUAAAUCAAUCCUUUGUGAACCGGGGCCUUACAUAACUCUAUUCUAACAGGCUUAGUCAGGAUGUUUAAAUUGUAGGUACAAUUCCACACCAUUAAACAACAAAGAGGUAGGUACAGAAGAUACAAUGUAUGAAUGAUUUUGUAGAUAAAGAGUUUUGGUGUUUUUUUUUUUCCACAGUAGCAAGGAUUGUAACAGCAUUACAUACUGUCAUUUUAACAUUAACACCUAAGAUAAGAAGUAUAGCGAUUAAUUUUAUGAGAAUAUGUGGGUCACUAUGAACAGACAGAAAAAUAUGCAUCAGUCAUAUUUGAUAUAAUUCAAAAUUUUCCCUAAGAUAAUACAUAAGCCAACAGAGACAAAUAACAAUUUCAGAAGUUUGGAAGGGUAUUUUACUUCACACCCAAAUAGUAAUAAAAAUUGAGAGAAGUCCAAAAACACAAAAAAAUGUAGAAGGUAUAGCUAAAAGAAUUUGUACCGGUGACAUUUUAGAUAAGGCAUAUUGCAAGAAUUUACAAAAAAUAAAUACCAAGGAAAUAAAGUUGCAGAUCAACAAAUGGCAAUGAACUAAAUAGACACUUUCAAAGACAGAAACUCAAAUGGCCAAUAAACAUUGUAAAAGCAUUCAGGAUUUCAAAAAGGCCACCAUGGGAGAACAAAUGAAAACUUCUUAGAAAUACUGCCUCACCCCAGGAGAAUGGCUGCCAUCAACUAAGCUCACAACAAAUGUUUGAGGGAAUAUGGAGAGAAAGGAAGCCUUACUCACUGUUGAUGGAAGGGAGGGUGCAAAUUAAUACAGCCAUAGUGGGAAUCAGUUUGGAGAUUAUUGAAAAAAACUGAAGAGAAAAGUUACAUAUGACCCAGAUCUUUCACUCGUGGCCAUAUACCCAGAGAACAACACACCCCACUACAGAGAUAUUUAUACCUCGUGCUUACUGUUGUUUUGAUCACCAAAGGAAUGGUAUUGGAAUUAACUUAUUAUCCAUCAACAGAUGAAUGGAUAAUUAAAAUUGUAUAAGAUGGAAGACAACUCAGCCAUAGAGAAAAAUAAAAUAAACAUUUGCAGGAAAAUGAAGGGACACAAAAUAU